UCGGGAAUAUUGCGCAAUGGAGGAAACUCUGACGCAGUGACGCCGCGUAUAGGAAGAAGGUUUUCGGAUUGUAAACUAUUGUCGUUAGGGAAGAAAAAAUGACAGUACCUAAGGAGGAAGCUCCGGCUAACUACGUGCCAGCAGCCGCGGUAAUACGUAGGGAGCAAGCGUUAUCCGGAUUUAUUGGGUGUAAAGGGUGCGUACACGGGCGAUCAAGUUAGUUGUGAAAUCCCUCGGCUCAACUGAGGAACUGCAACUAAAACUGGUUGUCUUGAGUGCAGGAGAGGUAAGUGGAAUGCGUGGUGUAGCGGUGAAAUGCAUAGAUAUCACGCAGAACCCCGAUUGCGAAGGCAGCUUACCGGCGCUCAACUGACGCUGAGGCACGAAAGUGUGGGUAUCGAACAGGAUUAGAUACC
rnacentral:rRNA from 1 species